AGAGCUUGUUUCCUUAUUAAAUGAUGUACUUAUGACCCUUGUCUCUUGUCUUUAAUUCACAGUGCCCCAAGAGAAGUUGGUAUAGCUGCCUCAAGGUCAUCUCCAGAGUAUCGUUUGCCAGCCGCUUGAAAAAAGUUCAAAGGAAAUGAAAUCAUGGAUUUUAGCCCAAAAGUACUGGUAGCAGGAGAACGGGAUGCUUCAGUGACUUAAGCAAUACCUGGAAGAUGGAGACUCCUAGGAAGAUGCAAUACCUGGAUUUGGGUACAAUUCUGGGAAGAGGAGAUGCUGAUCCUUAAAACAAUGCUUUUUCUGUACUCAUUCCACAGCUGAAUCUCUUGGGCAGAGAAAGAACCUGUACCUGUGCCCCUUGCAACAUGGCCUUGGGCAGUAGAAUGCAUCCCAUAUGGAACUUUAUGACUUCAGCAUUUAGCAAAGGACAAGAAAUUUGGACCAUGAAGUUGAAUUGGCUACAUCUGACUAAAGUCCUGUUUCAUGGAUGCCAGAGGUAUGUUGACUCUGUCCUAUUGAGGCGGGUGGAAAAAAUGAUGGCUGUAGCAGAAAGGACAAGCUUCUUUCAAGUCUUUUUUUGAAAAAGGUAAGAAUGGAAAACCUUUUCAAUUGAAGUCAGCUUUUUGUUGUUGUUAAUCUUUGGGAUGUGGAGGUGGAGGCAACCAUCAUUUUCCUCAGCGGUGUUAAAAAUGCGUGAGUAACUUUGGCUGAUUUGGCUGAUAUAUAAGGCAGUCUGGGACAGAAUUAUGACUUUGAAAGGCUUUAUGCAAAACUCUUGUAUAUUCUAGAAAUGCUGGAUAGCUAUAAAUGUAGUCUAAUAAAUAUAAAAAUAGAAGAGCA
rnacentral:lncRNA from 1 species